GGGGGUAUAGCUCAGUGGUAGAGCACCUGCUUUGCAUGCAUGAAGCCCUGGGUUGCAUCUCCAGCUCCUUUU
rnacentral:tRNA from 1 species